rnacentral:rRNA from 1 species
AUGUCGCCGUCAAUGGAUGAGUUGCGUCGGCCGCCCGAGUUCGACCACAUGUUCACGGACGAGGCGUGGGCCAGCAUGACCCAGGACACGCGGCGCCGGAUCGUCGACAUCUCGUGCCGGGAGGAACAAGAGCCCACCCAAGAGGAACGCCGCAUGCAUCAACUCAUCGCCGGCGCCGGCGGGCCCUGCAGCGUCUUCACCGACGCCUUUGCCUUCGCUGAGGUACUGGAUUUCGCGGACAGACAUCACCAGGAGGCGGAGCGAGAGGACUGGGAGGCGGUGCUGCAAGGGCGGCAUUACGCCGACGAAUGCGCAGAUGACGAUGAGGACGGCAAGACGACGACGGCGCAGACCGUGGACACCCGGCGGCCGAACCACCAUAUCUCCGAACAAACGUUGUCCAGGGAUAUACAGAAAUCAAAGGCUUUUCUGUGGACUCGAUACCACCAGCUACACCUCCUACACCGACCCUCACAGCUCGGCCAGGUCCGAUGA